AAAAUUAUUACGUUAGUGAGCGAGAAAAUGAUUGCGGUAGUGAGCGAGAAAAGGUUUGAGGUAGAGAGCGAGAAAAUUAUUGCGGUAGUGAGCGAGACAAUUAUUGCGUAAGUGAGCGAGGAAAUGAUUGGGGUAGUGAGCGAGAAAAAGAUUGCGGUAGAGAGUGAGAAAAUGAUUGCGGUAGUGAGCGAGAAAAUGAUUGCUGGUAGUGAGUGAAAAAAAGAUUGCAGUAGAGAAUGAGAAAAUUAUUGCGGUAGCGAACAAAAAUGAUUGCGGUAGUGAGUAAAAAAAUGAUUGCGGUAGAGAACGAGAAAAUUAUUGAAGUAGUGAAUGAUAAAAUGAUUGCGUUAGAGAGCGAGGAAGUGAGUGUAAUAAAGAGUCAGGAAGUGGAUACGGUACAGAACGAAAGCGGUAAAGAGUGUAAGGAAGUGAAGAGUGGUAGUGAGUGUGGAAAUGGUUGUGGUAGUGAGUGAGAAAGUGAGAUCGGCAGAGAGUGAAAAUGAGUGACAGAGUGAGGAAAGGGAAUGCAGAAGGCUUUCAUGAGGAGUAUCGUUAAUGCCAAAAAUAUCUUGUGUGGAAUUGGAUGUGUGUUUUGCCUGUGUGUGUUUUCAACCUUUCAGAAAUGCAGAACUACUUGUGCUUCAGGUAGACGAGGUGGAUGCCUUAUUUAGUUAUUGCACAUUAUUUAAAAAAAAAAAAAAAAAAAAAAAGAUGAACAAAAACACCUGUAAUAUAAUCCCAUGAAGAUGUGGGGAGUUUAAAUUGUUACAUUGCUGAACGAGUGCCAGGUAUGCAGUGUCCAGUACUGGAGCAGAUCUUCAUUGUACUCCAAAGCCAAAUGUCAUCCUUCCCAUAUUCACCAACCUAAAAACUGUCCAUAAUCAGUGUAUAUUAUCUCUGAAAGCUCACUGAGAUGUACAAAUUCCUCAACCUGCUUUUGCUUUGUUUCACUCUUUUAUGCUGAGACGGUUUGUUUUAUAUAUUUAUGAGACUUGAAAGGAUUGCCAACUACUAUUUAAUUUAUUUGUUUUACCACUGCCUUUUUAAAUAGCUUUUUAAAACACUUUAGAGAUUGUAGAGAAUAACAGUAAGCGGUUUCUUAUUUUGCUUGAUUAGCAUUUUUGCACUGUCGAUAAUGAAGAAAAAAAUAAUGUUGAAUGUCUAAUAUAAUGUUGAACUGUCUAAUAUAAAAGGUGGCUGAGGUACAGACGGGUCAUGUGUGUGUGACCAUUUAAAGCCUCAGAAAUAAAUGCUGAAUAAUGUAUAAUAAAAUCCUAUUUAAUGUCA